rnacentral:rRNA from 1 species
UGACGAACGGGUGAGUAACACGUGGGUGAUCUGCCCUGCACUUCGGGAUAAGCCUGGGAAACUGGGUCUAAUACCGGAUAGGACGAUGGUUUGGAUGCCAUUGUGGAAAGUUUUUCGGUGUGGGAUGAGCUCGCGGCCUAUCAGCUUGUUGGUGGGGUAAUGGCCUACCAAGGCGUCGACGGGUAGCCGGCCUGAGAGGGUGUACGGCCACAUUGGGACUGAGAUACGGCCCAG